rnacentral:rRNA from 1 species
CCUGACUGCUAUCGGAUUGAUACUAAGCCAUGCGAGUCUUUGCAGUAAUGCAAGGCGGACUGCUCAGUAACACGUAGUCAACUUAACCUAUGGAUGGGUAUAACCUCGGGAAACUGAGAAUAAUUCCCAAUAGAUCAUUUAUCCUGGAAUGGUUAGUGAUUGAAAUGAUUCGUCGCCAUAGGAUAGGACUGCGGCCUAUCAGCUUGUUGGUGAGGUAAAGGCCCACCAAGGCUAUUACAGGUACGGGCUCUGAGAGGAGAAGCCCGGAGAUGGGUACUGAGACACGGACCCAGGCCCUAUGGGGCGCAGCAGGCGAGAAAACUUUGCAAUGUGCGAAAGCACGACAAGGUUAAUCCGAGUGGUUUCUGCUAAAGAAAUCUUUUGCCAGUUCUAAAAAUACUGGUGAAUAAGGGGUGGGCAAGUUCUGGUGUCAGCCGCCGCGGUAAAACCAGCACCUCAAGUUGUCAGGAGGAUUAUUGGGCCUAAAGCAUCCGUAGCCGGCUCUGUUAGUUUUCGGUUAAAUCCAUAUGCUCAACAUAUGGGCUGUCGGAAAUACUGCAGAGCUAGGGAAUGGGAGAGGUAGACGGUACUCGGUAGGAAGGGGUAAAAUCCUUUGAUCUAUUGAUGACCACCUGUGGCGAAGGCGGUCUACCAGAACAUGUUCGACGGUGAGGGAUGAAAGCUGGGGGAGCAAACCGGAUUAGAUACCCGGGUAGUCCCAGCUGUAAACGAUGCAGACUAGAUGAUGCAUUAGCAUAUAGCUAGUGCAGUGUCUCAGGGAAGCCGUUAAGUCUGCCGCCUGGGAAGUACGUACGCAAGUAUGAAACUUAAAGGAAUUGGCGGGGGAGCACCACAAGGGGUGAAGCCUGCGGUUC